AGACAUCGCGAGCCAUAAAGGGAAGACAAAAUGCCUCAAAGGUCUAUACUUUUCAAAACUUAAUUUUCGUCAUUGGUGUCUUCGUCCCUGUGGAAAAGGAGUGAAGAUCAUUUUUUGCAUUUGUUGAUUAUUGAUUGCAAAACAUCAACGGUAUGUAAGCUACGAUCAAAAUGGAGGGUAAUGUCAACCGCUAAUGUGCCAUGGGGUAAAAUUUUACAACCAUAUGUUUGAUGAGUGUAAGGCAUUUGGUCAUCUAUUUUGUGGGGACGAAGAUAAAGUUGUUGGGGGAGGAAGCUGCACGCUUGGUUUGUUUAGUAAAUGGAUUAAUUAUAUUUCUAGUAAGGUGCUUUAAUACAUUAAUAUGUUGUGAUAUAGGUCUGGCCGAAUAAGGCAGAAGAUAUGAAAUAAUCAAAAUAAAAUGAGAAUGUUGAUAAGGUUGAGGAUGAUGAUGUUGAUAAGGUUGGCCUAAUAAGGAAGAAGAGAAGAAAGAAACAUAUGACAAGAAAGAAUUCGUUUACGAGACACCGCCAUAGGUCAAGAGGUCUACACAUGCAAAAUGAUCGGCACCAAAUUAAUCUCAACGCACACUGUUAUCUAACCCUCUACAUGCAGUAGCCCUUUGAUUUGAACAUAAGAAAACCUUAUUUCUAGGAGUAAUUAUUUCUAGGAGUAAGGUGGGAAAAUAAUGGUGUUUGAAUGACUCGUGAGGCAUAAUGCUCUUUCGCAAUACAUUCAUGAAGAAGUUAGGUUAUUAGAUAAAAUGCACACCUCUUUAGUUGGGUUAAUAUUAUAGAAACCCUAAAUUUUAAAUGUGUAAUUGGAAAAAGCGCUGAUAAUUUUUUUAUUAUUGUUGUGGCCAUAA